AAAAUGCGAUAAGUAAUGUGAAUUGCAGAAUUCAGUGAAUCAUCGAAUCUUUGAACGCACAUUGCGCCCGCCAGUAUUCUGGCGGGCAUGCCUGUUCGAGCGUCAUUUCAACCCUCAAGCUCAGCUUGGUGUUGGGACUCGCGGUAACCCGCGUUCCCCAAAUCGAUUGGCGGUCACGUCGAGCUUCCAUAGCGUAGUAAUCAUACACCUCGUUACUGGUAAUCGUCGCGGACACGCCGUAAAACCCCAACUUCUGAAUGUUGACCUCGGAUCAGGUAGGAAUACCCGCUGAACUUAAGC
rnacentral:misc_RNA from 1 species